CGUGCGUGCGCUCGUCCUCGUCCUCUUCGGGCUUGGGCCGGGUAACUGACGGAAACCCGGCCUGAACCCGGUCGGUUCUGCUCGAAUUGGACCGGUCUUGGGCCUAAGGCUGAGUUGGAAAGAGGAAGUCACGCCGCCAACUCCUCUAGCUGAACUAUCAAAAUGAACUCAAGUUAAGAGGCUGGCUGUUUGAGGAAGCUCAAGAUUAAGAUAAGCAGCAGCUAGGUAGUUACUCCCUUGGUCAUAUAGAAAACAAAUUUAAAACUGGAUGUAACAAAUUCUAGUAUAAUGAAUCUGGACAGUCUUAAUAUGUCACAUUCAUUUGUUUUUUGUGGGACAAAGGAAGUACUCCCUCCUUAUAUAAAUCUUAGACCUAUUUCUUUUUCAUCAAUACCAAAAAGCAAUUAACUCAUACAUCAUGUGGCAAAAAUAAUGGACAUGCAACCAAUAAGUACGAAUGACUUCUUGAUUUUUGAUCAACAAUUUAAUUUAGCACAUAGUAACUACAAAUAAGACUUAGAUUUUUUGAAAAACCAAAUAAUGAAAUAGGUCUAAGAUUUUUAGAAGGAUGGAGUAGAUUCUGAGAAUUAAAAAAAGCUGUGUUUUUAGCUUCUAGUUCAUUUUAUGAAUCUACAGCUACAGUUUCUCAAAAAUUAAACAAAAAGUUGAACUGUUUGGGAAGUUUCUGAUUGUAGGAGAAGUUACAGUUGCCAGAAACCCCUCCAAACAUGCUCUUAGUGUUGAGCUCAAUAUGAUAAUUUGGGAUAGGCUUAGACAUAUACUCCUACAGGGGCGUCCAGGGGGCCCGUGCGGGCCGUGCGACCGAAUAGGGCCCCCAAAUUUUAAGGACCCCUAAAAUAUUAAGUAUGCCCUAUAUAUAAUAAUAUUAGAGGCUUUAAUUUUAUU